rnacentral:lncRNA from 1 species
CUACAUAAACCCGGCCUAGCCAGCCAUCCUAGUUAGCAGUAGCACACACCAACGUCUGAUCAUCUUCAGGAGCAAUUAGCGUGGUGAUCACUAGUCAUAAUUUCUAGCAAAUCUAAGAUGAGGACUCGCUGCUUCUUCUUCCUGGUCCUUGCCCUUGUGGUUCUAUCGUCGGGUGCGUGCAUUCCUUCAAACAAAUUAUUUUUCCAUCUUCUUUUUCUUUUUGAGUUUGAUUAUUUUUUCAUCUAUGAGUAUUUCUUGUGCCCCCCUCUGUACGAUAAAAUCGUGGUAAAGUUAACCACGCAGCAGAUCUAUGAUAAUCAUCUGAUUGAUUUUCUCUUCGUUUGUUGCUCUGGGAUCGAUCCACAGGCGUGGCCGUGAAGGUGACGGCGGAGGACUGCGAAACGUUCAAGUACAAAGGGAGAUGUAACUUGGAGGUGUGCCAAUACCGUUGCAACAAAAUAUGGGGAAGCAAUGCUGUUGCAAGUUGUGAGCAUGACUUCGCGUGUAAAUGCACGGUCUGUCCUCCCCCUGCAAAGAUUUGAGCCAUCCGUGCUGUGAAUGGUUUCCAAAUAAUUAAUGUGGUUCCUUUUACCUCCUCUUUUCAUAUGAGAUCUAAGAUCAUCUACAACCAAACGUAUGUUGCAAGUUUCUGUCAGCUUUCUGUC